AUUAUCCUCCUGAUAAAGUCAAAACAAAGGUCCAUCCAGAUGGACAUCUUUAUCAAUUACAUCCGAGAUUCAACUACAUCUCUCAGAUACAAUCCAUAUGAGCAUUCACUCUGGCAAGCACUCUGAUAUCCGCCCAAUGGUGGCAUCUUUAAGCUCACCCCAGAUAUUCAUUGCAAAGACAACAUAUACAAAUACUAUCAGAUAUAGCCUAGCGUACGGUUCAUUCUGAUUUAGCUCAACAUACGACUCCUUCAACUCAGAUACGAUCUAACAUACGAUCCAUUCUGACCUUCAACUGCUCCAAUACGGCCUAAUGUACAACCCAGUCGGACCUUCAAAUCCUCAGAUGCUGCCCAGCGUACGGUACAUUCCGGGGUGUAGUAUAGCGUACAGCUACUUUCUUCGCCAGAUACAGCCUAAUGAACGGCUCAUCCUGCAACUCAGAUACUACCUGGCGUACGGUACAUUCUGGAAUGUGGUCUAGCGUACGACUAUCCUUUCAUCCCCAGAUACAGCCCGACGAACAACUCAUUCUGCAACUCCAAUACGGUCUAACGUACGACCCAUUUGGAUCUUCAACUCGAAUACGAUCUAGCGUACGAUCCAUUCUGAUUCUACCUUCGUCAGAUAUAGCCUAACGAAUGGCUCGUUCCGCAACUUAGAUACGAUCUAGCGUACGAUCCAUUCUAAUCUUCCCUCCCCAGCGAAGUCAUCCGCCUAAUGAACAACUCACUCUGCUAUUCAGAUACGGUCUAGCGUAUGGUCCAUUCUGAUCCCUUAUCCCCAGCAGCGUAUAACACACUCUGACUCCCCAGCGAAGUCGACAGCAUAAUGGAGGACUCACGAUACGGUCUAGCGAAUGACCCGGUAUGACACCCAUGUCUUCAGAUAUCGUCUAAUGUGCGACGCACUCCGAAGCUCUCGUCAUCAAACUUCCUGGAUGGCAUCUUUAAGCCCAUCUCCAUCAAGACUAACUUUUAAUUAACAAGUGCAAAUUUUUGGGGCAUUCUAAGUGUUCAAUAAUCUUCCACCUCCAGACCACGAAUGGCAUACAUACCAUUCUAACUCUCUCGGUUUAAGAAUAUUGAACAGGGGCAGCUGUCAUACCCCAAAAUUUNNNNNNNNNNNNNNNNNNNNNNNNNNNNNNNNNNNNNNNNNNNNNNNNNNNNNNNNNNNNNNNNNNNNNNNNNNNNNNNNNNNNNNNNNNNNNNNNNNNNNNNNNNNNNNNNNNNNNNNNNNNNNNNNNNNNNNNNNNNNNNNNNNNNNNNNNNNNNNNNNNNNNNNNNNNNNNNNNNNNNNNNNNNNNNNNNNNNNNNNNNNNNNNNNNNNNNNNNNNNNNNNNNNNNNNNNNNNNNNNNNNNNNNNNNNNNNNNNNNAUUAUCACCAUGAGAAUAACUUAUGACACUUUGCAUAACUUUCUAUAUAGUAUUCUCAUAGCGGGUCAAUCCGGUAUAAAUAUUACUCCUAAUAUUCAUACCUAUGUUUAAGACUUGAUAACUCUUUAUCCAUGAUCCAUGAGAUGUGAUCAUCAGUCUACAAACAUAAUAGUCUUAAUGCUUUAAUGUUAUCCCACUUCACAUUAAAGCUCGACUACAGAUACUUUAAGAACAGUGCCCUUAUGUUUAAUGUGUUCUCAUGAUUAAGUCACACUUAAUACAUUAAACAAACUAUCUAUUCUAGGGACUUUAUUAAUCAACCAUAAUAAAGAAAAUGCCUUUUAUUAUUAAUAAAUAAUUUGAUACAAGUACCAAAAGUAUUGGCCUCUAUUGGUUACGGAGGAAAUAGCCAUUUUGUAUCCUAUGCCCCUAAGGAGCGCAUGAAGAUACGUUCAGUUCUGGAUCAAACCUGCAGGUUAAUUGUCGUUUGCAUAUCUUUUGUACCACUUGUUUCCAGGUAUAAACACCAUGUUGCAGCGCUUGAGAACAAAUAUAGGAAACCUUGGGCUUUCAAUAAUUCCAUAAUAAAUUGAUAUGUGGUCUUGUUGCAGGUUACUGAAUUUACAUGUGAAUGACUUUAAUGUUACAAUAAAUGGAAACUGAAUGAAAUUGGUCUGGUAUUGAAAUUAGUUUAACUGUGUUUCGGAUGCGUUAGUAAUUGAAUAGCAAUUAGUUAUGUUAGUGAAGUGUUAGAAACUCGCAGGGAAGUUAAAUGUUAUGCAGGUGGACUUAUUCUAUUUUCCAUGUUAAUGUGUUGCUUGGAUUAUUAUGAUGAUGCUGUGAGUGAUUGUGUAGGUUUGGUUAUCAGUUGUUUUCACGGCGCCGCUUUGAGCUGGUGUAGCUUGCACUUAUGGUUGUGCAUGUUUGGCUUUCUAACAGGUCUAGAAGCUUGGAGCGAUUAGGUAGAAUUUUGUCUUGGUUCUGUCAGUGGUCGUUCGAAUCCAGUUACCGGUUGGUUCAAGGUGAGGAAAAUGCUUAGAAGCUUUUGUUGAAUGUUGUUGAUAGAUAAGUCAGUUCACUGUUGUUAAGCCGCAAUGUUAUGUCAAUGAAUUUAAUUGGUGAAAUCCAUGUUUUGCAAGUUUUUGGGAAGUUCAAUUGAUAUGCAAAGGAUGAUAACAUUAACAAAGAAAAUGAAGCUCUUGUUAGUAGCCUAAACAAGCAGUUAGAUAAAACUUCAGAAAUAGUACAUGACGCGAGUUCAUAUACCAUUGCUCAAUACAACGCUUCCUUUCCUAAUACUGAGAGGGUAAAUGAAGUGUGGAUAUUGGAUUAGAAUGGGUUUGUUUUUAGAAAUUGGUUAAUGGUAAUGUUGUUGGUGUAAGCCCUAGAGGCCAAUACUUUUGGUACUUGUAUCGAAUUAUUUAUUAAUAAUAAAAGGCUUUUUCUUUAUUAUGUUUGUCUAAUAAAGUCCCUAGAAUAGAUAGUCCAUUUAAUGUAUCAAGUGUGACUUAAUCAUGAGAUCACAUUAAACAUAAGGACACUAUUCUUAAAGUAUCCAUAGUCGAGCUUUAUUGUGAAGUGGGAUAACAUUAAAGCAUUAAGACUAUUAUGUAUAUAGACUGAUGAUCACAUCUCAUGGAUCAUGGAUAAGGAGUUAUCAAGUCUUAAACAUAGGUAUGAAUAUUAAGAGUAAUAUUUAUACUGGAUUGACCCGCUAUGAGAAUACUAUAUAGAAUGUUAUGCAAAGUGUCAUAAGUUAUUCUCAUGGUGAUAAUGGUGUAUACCACCCUUCGACCUGAAACCACUAUGGACCCUAGAUGUAGAGUCGAGUGCCUUAUUGCUGAUCAAACAUUGUCCGUAACUGGAUGACCAUAAAGACAGUUGAUGGGUACUCCACGAAGCAUGCUAAGGGACAUGAGUGACCUAGAUGGAAUUUGCCCAUCCUGCGUAACAGGAUAAAUGUCUAUGGGCCCAAUAUUGAACUGGACAAGGAUGACACGGUAUAUGCCUUGUGUUCAAUAUAGACAUAAGGGCAAAAGGGUAAUUGUACACAUAAGUAUUAUCACAAAAGGAUUUAUCAUAUCACAUGACAUUUCGUGUCUUGGGUAGCAGUGAUGUGUUUCUAGAUACCUCUCAUUGUUUGUUAUGUUAAAUACGUGAUUUAAUAUAAUUGCCAAUGUCGCGAAAACCUACAAGGUCACACACAAAAGGACAGAUUGAUGAGAGAUAGAGUAACUAAGGAAUACCGUAAUGUACGGUGCACUUAAGUGAAUUGUAGGACAUCGUAAGGUACGAUGUACUUAAGUAAAAUACGAAAUAUGGUAAGGUACCACUCGCUUAAGUGAUUUUGGCAUAUUAUAAGAUAUGGGCCACAUACACUUGAGUGGGCUUUUUAGCUUGCAGCCCACACAAGUGGUUCUAUAAAUAGAACCCUUGUGUAGAAGCAUUUGUGCAGUUGCAAAUUUUUAGCUUGCAGCCCACACAAGUGGUUCUAUAAAUAGAACCCUUGUGUAGAAGCAUUUGUGCAGUUGCAAUUUCGUUUCUCUCUCUCUCUCUCUCUCUCUCUCUCUCUCUCUCUCACUCACUCACUCACUCACUCAAAGCCUUCAUUCGUAGUAGCUAGCACUCAGAUUGAAGGAAUCCGUUCGUGUGGACUGAGUAGAGGCGUUGUCAUCGUUCAACGUUCGUGAUCGCUCCAUAGAUCUGCAUCAAAGGUUACAAUCGCCACAAGAGGUAAUGAUUCUAUCACUGAUCAUGCCCAUUCGUAAGGAUCACUAAAGGAGAAAUUUUAAAUUUCGCUGCAUUUUGGGUCACUCUUCUCCUUCAAAUGUAAACUGGAUUUGGAUAAUGGUAAUGUGUUAUAUAAAUGGAUGAUUGUAUUAAAAUUGGAAAUUGAUCAAUUUGGUUAGAAUUUGGUUUUGGAUACUAGGAUAAUGAACUUGAUUUGGUGGCUGUACAUGAGCGUUUGUUGGCUAUGGAAUGGAUAUCCAUUAUUAAAUGGUUAAGUUGGAUAUGGAAAUUGGACCAAUGGGCUUAUGCUUGGGCUUGAUAUGUGGUGAUGUUGGAAUUUUUUAUUAUGGAGAAAAAAGAGUGGACCUACCUCUAGUUGACAACCAUGGCCCAAUAGUGAAAACGAAGGACAUUAUAAAAAAUGGAUUUCCAAGAUUAAUUUGACUUGUCAGAAAUCAAUUUGAAUUAUCAAACUCGCUUUAAAUCCAAAAUCAAUCAAAAUCAACUUGAAUCCAAAAUUAAUUUGAAUUAACGAUUAAGUGAUUGUGGACACUUAUGUUAAAUGCAAUGACCAAGUAAGGCAAGUUGACUUUGGUCAACUGAUUGACCAAAAAGUCAAUAGUUGACCAAAAGUUGACUGAUGCAAAAGGUGAUGAAAUGGACUUCUGUGAUUAAAAUGUAUGUUCAAAAUGGUACUAUGAUCCAACUAGAACCAAUGUAUUUGGGAUCAAUGCAGCUUAAUGGAUGGAGUGACUUGAGUUCAAUGCGACGCAGUAGAAUAUGAACGCAAACAAGCCAUGUAUUAGGGCUUAGCUAGGUCAAAGAUCUAAGUGUCACGCAAUGACCAAAGGUCUCAAAUCCGACAAUUUGUUAAUAUCGUGAACCAAUUUAGGGUUUCCAACAAAUCACAAGAAUUACCAACUCCAAUACCGAAAUCUCCAAUCCAAGCCCGCUUUGCUAAUCAGAAACCUUGAAUCUGUGAGGUAUGAAUGAUGAUGAAUAUGCAUGAGACACGAGGUUAGAUGGAUCUCGGGUUAGAUGAAAAAGCAAAAAUGGGGGGCAAAUUUUGGGUACUAUACUAACCUAUUAACACCUUUAUACUUUUUGGUUUAUCAUGUUGACUUGUUCAUACUAACCCUCUAACUUGUUAGCAUUAUCUUGUUCAUAUAACUUGCUAACUUAAAAUAACCUAAUCAAUCUUUUAACUAUGGGUUGUAUAGUUAUCCCUUUGUCAAUUUAUUAAUAGAUGGACUUGAGGUUGAACAACUUUCUUUGUUGUAACUCUAUGGUAAGUUGAUCCAUUGAUCAUCUUCCAUACUUUGCAUCAAUGAUAAGUUAUUCCUCGACGCACCAUAUUUUGAAUCUAUUGACCUAAGGAUAGAUAAUCCCCUAAUGUUGUUUCACUUGUUCAUAACCAUAACUUAACCUAAUCUUUGAUUAUUACUACCCUUUUGUUAUUAUUGUUAUCAUUAUUAUUAUUCAUUGUUAUUUACUUAUUAUCUCAUUUACAUUUAAGUACUCAUUAUCAUCAUCACUGUAUAAACUCCAUCAUAGAUGUUUAUUUAAUGUCAUUUAUAUUUAUUGUUGUCAUCAUUUAAAAUCAAUCAACGCAUGAUAAAAUUAUAAGACCAAAAAUAAGUCAUGACACUUAAUCAUCUUGGACUUAGAGGAUUCCAUUUAGUACCUAUGCUUGGAUCCUUUUUAAUUUUCCUUGUGAUACUCUGUAAGCUUUGGAUUUCAUCUGUAACUUGCAUACAUGUUGUAAGAAUGGCAUCAUGGCACCACCUUAGGGAGAUAUAUUUGUAAGACCAUUAUCCUUUGUUUAGCAUAGGUCACCCUUUUACACGCACAAGGCUUUCUCUUGGGCUACCUUACAAUGAGACCCUUUUAUUUCCUCAUUGGUUACUUUGCAUCCAUGUUGCAUAAACCAUAUUUUUCAAUCAAAUAAACAAACCCUUGAUCCAACGUCAAGUGGCUUUUUCUUAAUCAAAUUCAAAACACUUAAUAAUUACGAUUAAGUAUUGUGCGCCAUGAGCCUUAAGUGGUGAAAAAUGAGUGAUAAUGGAGCAUUACUACCCUCACUCUGAUUAUUUUGGAAGCAAGACACUUGACUUGUUAUCUAGAAUAUUCACCUCCACCCCUAGACUUUAGUGCAAUCUAAUCACAAACUCUUUUCAUAAAUCCUUGUUUAAGGUAAAAUCAACACAACUCAUCAAACCUAAUUUUUGUACCUUAGGGCACCCAUCUCAAAAACCCUUUUUCCAAAGGUAAAAUCAAUCAAACACAAAAACAUUUUCUACUCUAGACUACGGAGCUCUGAUUCCUCAUCCCCGAAUGAGUCAUACAUAGGCACAAGGGCCCCAAUCCUUGUCGAGCACUAUAAUAAUAAAACCCCAAUCUUUCACACAUCCUUUCUUUUGAAAAUAAAACAAUAAUAGAUAAAUCCCCAUGUACGUAAACAACCCAAAUGGAUCCCAUGGAAUACCAUAGAUGUGAGGGGUACUAAUACCUUUCCCUUGCAUAACCGACUCUCGAACCCUAAUCUCGAUUGCGAGACCGGUUCUUUAUCAUUUUCUAGCGCUUCCUGUGCGCUUAUCCUUUUUGAGGGUUUUAUCGACUAUUUCCCCUCGCCUCUCCGAUAGAGGCAUACAAAUAAAAUUCGGUGGCGACUAUUCUGAUUUAGUUCAAAAGUCCUCGGUUUUUGUUACCCUGGUAGCGAUAGCUGGCGACUCUGUUGGGGACUCUCCGAUAGAGGCAUACAAAUAAAAUUCGGUGGCGACUAUUCUGAUUUAGUUCAAAAGUCCUCGGUUUUUGUUACCCUGGUAGCGAUAGCUGGCGACUCUGUUGGGGACCCGGUUUUUUCCUAAGUGAGUCUAGCCUAGUUUGGGUUGUUGCUCCUUUUACAUACGUGGAGAUUUAUCCUUCAUUUAUUCUUUCUGUAUAUAUUGUUUUUUGUUGCUAACAUGUACAUAUUUUUAUUUUUUUGUCUGUUGAUCUGAAUCCUUGGUCCCGUGACGAAGAAAUUUGGAAGCAAUAAUGAUUGCAAAUAAAACCUUGUGUAAAACACUUUCCACCCGAGUCUGAGAGCUUUCUUGAGAUAUGAGAGGUUGAGUAGUAUUGAUCCACGAGGUGCCUUCCUCAUUAGGGUCGUACAAGAACCUCACUUAAUGGUAGAUUCUUUUAAGGGGAUUGAUGACUGUCGUUCUUUCGGCAUAAUCAUCUUUUCCUUUACUAGAGUCAGUGACCCUAAGACCCCUUUGUAGAACAUUUAACCAUCCAAUUAGAGCUUGGAGAGUGAGUGAGAUGACUUGAAUGAUUCUCCAAGCUUGUGGGGAAGCUUGAGGAUAAGAUUAGGGUCAAGGUGGCUUAGGGCACACCUCAACAUGGUUAAUGGGUCUUGAGAUUUCAUAGAUGAACCUCAUGCCUAUAUUUUAUGGAAUAUUAUGGAUCAUUAAGUACAAAUUCAUAUGAGAUGACAUAUAUGGGAUAUAUGCUCAUGAAUUAGGGUUAAAGAGGGUGAUGUGGAGGUAGGGUAAAUUUGAGGGUAUGACAAGGGGAAAAAUCUUCUGAAGAGUACAAUGGAGUCACUUCCAAAGAUCAGUUGAUUCAAGGUAAACCAUUUUAAGAACCAGUUAAUCAAGGGCAGACUAAUAUAAGAUUCAUACAUUGGGGAAAAUCAUCUCAGACCAUGUCAUGGUAUAAUCACCCCGAGGUUUCCUUUCGAGGAUAAUUCCUUCAAAUACCAUACAGAUUGGAGCAUACAAGUUGAAAAGGGGAAGGUUACCCCAUGAUUUCAAGUUGGUAAAGCGGAUAAUGCCAGAAACUAGUAAGAUUGAGUUCAAAGUAUGUGCCAGAGAGAUCACACUAGUACAACAUCCAAUCUCCUCCAGGCAAGAAGCCCUAGGGAAGAGCAAAAGAAAAAUCAUCAUGCAUUGAUUACGUUGCUACACUCAAGAAAAUCAUUUGCAAGCCAUCAUGGCCUAUCAAUCAAAUAAGUUUGGGUUCUCUCAUGAACAAAUACACAACUUAUCAGCAACAAAUCAAACUUGGGGCACCAAAAGCAUUCGUAUCUGCUUUCCAAUCAUCACAUAAGUCAAAAAAUUUCACAUACCCAAAGUCAAUUCCAUAUUGGCAACUACCAAAAAAAACUAAAGUCCAAUCUAUUGGUUUCAUAAAACAAAAGUCCACCCUAUUGGAAUCAUCAUAAACUCAAAUCCAAUCAACAUUGGUACCCAGAAAAGAUCUCACCUUUGAAAAAAGGAGACCAAUCCAAAAACCAAUCACUUGCUUGCAUCCACAUAUGCAUUGAAUACAACAUACAUCCAUAACUUUUCUGCCAAAAGAGGAAGUUUCAUAAAAAACGCUGUCUCUCCGAAAUAAGAAUUUUUCAUUAACAUGCAACACAUGCAUACAUAACAUAUUCCUUUCUGCCAACCCUUUGAUGAUGAAAAAUCCUUUCCCAUAAACCCUUUGAUGAUGCGAUCAACCCUUUAUGACAACAUAACAUAAUAAUUAUUUUCCAUCAACCCUUUAAUGAUGACAAAUCCAUUCUCAUCAACCAUUUGAUGAUGUUAUCAACCUUUUGAUGAAGACAUAACAUAAUCAUUAUUUUCCAUCAACCCUUUAAUGAUGACAAUAUUUUAUAAUCCUUCCCAUUAACCCUUUUAUGAUAAUAUUAACUAUUUGAAGCAUCUUCCAUCAAACCUUUAAUGAUGUUAAUCCUUAGUGAAAUCCUUUUUUGUCAACCCUUUGACGAUGUCACUCCUUAGUGAAGUCCUUUCCAUCAACCCUUUGAUGAUGCCAUCAACAUUUUGAUGAUGACAUAACAUAAUUAUUCUUUUCCAUCAACCUUUUGAUGAUGACAAUCCUUUAUAUUCCUUUUUCGUCAACCCUUUAAUGAUUUCACUCCUAAGUAAAGUCCUUUCCGUCAACCCUUUGAUAAUGAUAAUCCAUUUUUGUCAACCAUUAGACGAUGUCACUCCUUAGUGAAGUCUUUUCCAUCAACAUUUGAUGAUGAUAUUCGCCAACAAUCUAUCAUUGGAAACAAAAUAAAGCCCUACAAAAAAAUCCAAUUACCCAGUUGCAUUCCCAUAUGCAUCACUUCAUGCGUAACCUUCCCGUCGAAACGGGAAGUUAAAAAAAACAAUCAUAUUAAUCAUAAAAAAAGCAGGUGUUACACACAUUUAUCUAUUUUCUAUAAAUUAUGUAAAAACUCUCUUAAUAUAAGUGACUCAAAUUGUAUGAAUGUUUCAAAGUGAGAACCAUAAGCCUAAAGCCUAUUUGCCUCCAUUAUGAUUUAAGUGAUUUUUCAAUUAAGUUGUUUUCCUAUAAGUGCUUUUUAUUUAAGUUGUUAUCACCAAAUCUCAAAUUAUUGAUUCCUCUAGAUAUACAUCGAUAGAAUAAAGUUCGAUACUUAAACCAUUAGUCUAUGUGGUUCGAUAAAUUUUUACUACUUUGUAGAGUCGUGGACUUGCGGCGUGUCACCUGGUAAAGAGAAGGGAUAAAGAAUAUUGGGGGAUCAGAGGUGUUUUAAUAAAAGAGUCAUAUUUACGCGAUUGCUGAAGUGUUUAAGAAACGAGGAAGUUGCAUAUAUUAUUCUGAGAGUACACGAAAGGAUAGUAGACCAACAUCUAGGAGCUAAGGAAUUUGGCUAAGAAGAUGCUGAAAGCAAAGUAUUUAUGGUCGACCAUGAUGCGAGAGGCCCAAGAAUACGUAAAAAGUGAGACCAACGCCAACGACAUAAAUAUGUUUUCAAUGUUCCAUCCAUGUAGAUGAAUGUUCUUACAUCACCAUGGUCGUUCUUGCAACGGGGACUAAACAUCCUCGAUCCAUUCGCUCCCGCGCAGGGACAACUCAAGCACUUAGUCAUAGUUGGAGACUAUUUUACCAAGUAGAUCGAAGUUGAGGCACUGAAUAAUAUCACAAUAAAGGACAUCUUAAAGUUCUUAAAGAGAAACAUAUUAGCCUGGUUUGGGGUCCCAUAAGCCAUUGUAAUGGAUAAUAGAAUGCAUUUCAUAGAUAAAAGGUUAAAAACCUAUUUUAGGAGUUUAAGAUCGAGCAACACUUCUAAUUGUUGGAGCACCCUCAACUGAAUGUUCAAGCUGACAUAACCAAUUAGGUGCUGUUUAGAGGCCUAAAGUGAAUAUUGGAGGAUACCAAGGGUAAAUGGGCUGACGAACUGUCACAUGUGUUGUGGGAUUAUCUUACCCCUUCCCAAUCGACCAUAUGAGAAACUACUUUUUAAUUGACGUGCGAUGUAGAAGCGGCCAUUCUAGUGGAAAUUGAGAAGACGAGUUGGAGGACAACUAACCCUUUACCCAAAGAAAGUAAUGGUUAGGCCAUUAGAGAAGAGAUCAACCUUCUAUAGGAAAAAAGGAUGGGAACCUCCUUCACCAGCGUCGUCGUCAAGCAAAUAGAAACAUCCAUGUAUAACCACUACGUCCGACCAAGAGAAUUCUAGACAAGGGACUUGGUGCUGCAGAGAUCCUAUAUAGGAGGGAAAACUGCCCCGGUUGGCAAGCUAUCAGAAAAUUGGGAAGGACCUUACUGGGUGCGGACCAUCAUCGGGAAAUGAGCGUAUGUUUUGAAGUCCAUUGAAGGAGAACAAGUUCCCAUGACUUGGAACAUCUCUAAACUAAAACGGUAUUAUAGUUGAAAUGUUUAUUUAUUAGCUCAUUCCACGUUUUUAAUAUAACAAAUUGACAUAACUAUGAACGCAAAUACUUAUUUGUCAUUUUUUUCUCCGUUGCUCGCUUUUUUGUUCUUAUCUCAUUUAGGACACUAAAGGAAAAAAAAGAUAAAAAUUACAUGCAUUUCUAUGUAGCUGGCGCAUCCACCCUUUCAGAACUAGCCACUCAAAAGGCAAUGGAGCGAGACGUCCACCUCAACCUGAGUUAUACCUAGGGGGUAGGGAAAAAGAUCUUAACCUUGGCUGGGAAACAAUUCUCUAUGAUGCAGAACAUAGUACAAAGAUAUGACCACAUCUCACUGAGCCUGGGCCCACCACGGGUAACGUAAACAAACACACACUGAAACAUUGAAUGCUAAACACAACAAACAAACAAACACUGAAAUAGUAAACGUUAAAUACAACAAAAAGUUAAACACAACAAAUAAAUAUUGUAACAAACAUCAAGGCACAAAAAUAGUCAAGUUACAAUAAGUCAUUAUCAUCAACAAGUUUAAUAAAGCCAUGAAAAUAUUAGAGCUUAUGUACGAGCGACUCCAGUUGACGCAAGACAUUGUGGAAGAUAGCUUCUUUCAGACCACCAUCGGAGAGAUCGAGAAAAUGUUUGUUUACACUGGAGAACUCAUAUUAGAGAGCCUUAAACUCUUUUCUUUGGCCGACCCUCUUUUUCUCAAGCUUUGUCAUGACUGCUUGAGCAUUAGAAGACGAAGCAUCCAACUUGGGUUUUGUAUGACAUGAAACCUACUUCUCCUUUUAGAGCAAUCCUUCAAGUUUCGUUAAAUGGACAACCAAAGUUGCAUGGGAUCCAUGCAGGUUCAUUUCCUUUAGGAAAUGAGACACUUGAUCGAGCUAACUGUGCAGCCUGAAGCAAUCCCUUUUAAAGUUGGUAACUUUUGCCUUAGUAGGAGCACAACGAGCCUUCGAAACCUCGACAUCUUGAGAAGAAGCAUUAGGGAGCAAAAGUUACUUGUGAUUGGCCGUAAACUGGGACAUAAGUAAAGUUGUCCGCAACAACUAGAAAGUUGACUCUACCAAUAAGCUAGACUUGUCGGUUUUGAAGAGCAGGCGGCGAUCUGAGGCAACCUUCUGGCCAACACAAGGGGCCGUGGGAGAGGAAUGUUCCCCACACUCCCUGACAAGUGGGUAAUAGGGGUAAACCCAGUUUGUUUCAACUUUUUAACACGACUCCCCUAAAUGACAACAUUACCCCGAUCCUUUUUAAUCUCAGCUGAGGCAACUCUGUCAUGAUUAUUCUUGCUCCAUACCUCUAAAGGCAUCCGCGCAAUCAAAUGGGCUUUGGCGUCCUGCGCAGAUACGACACUAGCAACCGCAAGUUCCUUCCUUUUGAGCGCAUCUGAAGAAAGAAAAGAAAAAACAACAAAUAAGAGGUAGUACAAGCUCAUAUACCACAAAUAAAGCAAGAAUGGAGUAGAUACGAAAUAUUUAUUUCCUCUCCUCAACAGAUUUUUCCUUAGCGAUAUUCUGCCAAUGUAUCUCAACAUCAGAGAAGGUAAGUAAAGUUUCCUUCAUGACUUCUCCACAUCGGUAAGAGCGUUGUACGAGAUAGAGUGAGAUUUUGCCUUCGUUGUGAAAUGAUUAAGGGAUUAGAAUUGUCUCUUCUGGUCGACACACAUGGUCGACUUUACAUAAGGAGUCGGAGCAACGCAAAAUUUAGCAUGAGAAAUGGGAGAAAUGAAAGUGACCAAGAAAUAACCAGUCUUGAAAAUUUUCUAGCUUUUAGUAUAAACACGAAAGUCUUUAUUUUUGGCACAUCAAAGAGAAACAAGUCCAUAACCCUCGUUCCCCUUUGAGACAGGUUUAACCUAAAAUGGACCCACCCUCAUAAAAUCCUCAUGGGUAAAAGUAGAAAAUGUUCCUAUAUACUCAGGGUCCACCCAAGAGUAAUCGGUCGUGUUGGUUGUCGGCAUUAGAUCUUUUGGUUGGUUGAAUCAUGCGUCUGAAUCACAAAUAAGAAAGAUUAACAACAGUAAGACCUUGGUAAGAUGGGAUUUCCUCAAGUGACAAUGGUGUACAUGUAAAGAGAAAGGAGAGGGAAGCGAGUUGUCAUAAAAAAACAAUUGAAGAUCCAAAUAUUGGAAUAAGAGAAUUGAUAGCCAAAGCUAGAAAAAGGAGGUAAGUAGUGUAACAGUUUCUUAUUUUUAUUAUAAUAAUUAUUAAUAAUAAACCAAUUUUAAUGUGGUCCAUAGUUUUGAGAUUUAAAAGGGUAUGAUUUAUUUUGGUUUUAAUGUAAAUUGAUAUGAUCAAUAUAUAUAUUAAUCUAAAAUUAUUUUACUACUUUGGCUAUGGUUGGGUAUUGAACCUAGAUCCUAAUCCAUGACAUUCAUGAAUGUUACCAAUGCGCUGCGCUGCUUUGUUAAACAUGUGUUAUGAUUUUGUUCAUAUCCAUAUGAUUUCAUUUUUACUGAUUAUUAUGCCUUAUUAUUUAAUCUUUGAAUUAAAUUUGUGUAUAAAUUAAAUUUGAUUUAUAAUGUUAUUAUUUUGUUAAGCAAUUGUAUAAGAGAUCUUAUUUAUUUAAUUUUGUUCUCUCAUAUAAUUGAGUUACCAUGUCUAGUGAUCGUUAUAAUUUUGAUUAAUUUGGAUUAGCCACAACAUCCUUAAAUUAAUUGAGAUUAUUUUUUUAAAGUUUUGAGAUCACAUAAAUUAUUAGACAUAAAAUUGUAAUUAAUUAUACAUGCUAAUUAAUUAUACGUGGGUAUAAUGAAUUUUAUCCUACAUUGAUAUUUUAUUAUAUUUGUAUGAUUAAUUGGAUAAAAUGUCAAAUAUUUCUAACUUGCCCACAGAGAAUUGAAUUGGUACAUAAUUGAUAGUUUUAUCAUAAAGUAUUAAUUUGGAUAGAAAAACAAAAUUAUAUCAUGCACGUAAAGUGUUGAGGUUUGAAAAAUCUAUCACAAUUUUUUUAAAAUCUUAUUACAUAAAAUAGCCCACAGGUAAUUUUAUGUUGCAAGAUAUUUAUAUUGAUAAUACAUACAAUUUGGAUAAUAUUUAUGCUUCAAAUUUUGACAUCAAUUUUGUUUAUCUUUUUAGCUUCUCAACCUGCUAAUUUUUCUGAUAUCCGAUGUGAUAUUCCCGAGCUCAGAGGAGUUAACUAUAAGGUGUGGAAGGAAAGAAUUCUCCUCCAUCUAGGAUGGAUGAACAUAGAUUAUGCUAUUAGGAAAGACGAACCACCUGCAAUUAUAGAUGAAAGUACUCCAGCUGCAAUCGCACUAUAUGAGCGGUGGGAGAGAUCCAACCGGCUCAGUGUGAUGUUCAUUAAGACUAAGGUCACGGGUGGAAUACGUGGUUCUGUCGAUCAGCAUGAGAAUGUUUGUGAUUUGCUGAAAGCCAUUGACGAUCAGUUCGUCACUUCUGAAAAGGCUUUGGCAAGCACAUUAAUUAUGAAAUUUUCCUCCUACCGACUCAUCAGUGUGAAAGGUGUGCGUGAGCACAUAAUGAAAAUGUGUGACAUUUCAGCUCAACUUAAGAAACUUGAGGUUGAUAUGUCUGACUCCUUCCUGGUGCACUAUAUUCUGAACUCUCUUUCGUUUGAGUAUGGGCCUUUCAAGAUCUCCUACAAUACAUAUAAAGACAAAUGGUCAAUCAAUGAAUUAAUGACCAUGUGUGUUCAGGAAGAAGAAAUGCUUAUAAUGGAACAGAGUGAGAGUGCAUUGCUGACAAGCACUCGCGGGAAGAACAAAGCUUUCAAAACUGACAAGUCACAAGUCAAUCAAAAAGGGAAGUGAGCGGACUUUCCUAUCAGGAAGCAGGAUGGGCUCACAUGUGGAAGCUAUUGGAACUUGCAAUUUAAUUUUGAAUAAUGGUUUUGUUUUGAAAUUAGAAAAGACCUUUUAUGUACCAAGUUUCUCACGAAACUUGAUAAUUUAAUUUUGAAUAAUGGUUUUGUUUUGAAAUUAGAAAAGACCUUUUAUGUACCAAGUUUCUCACGAAACUUGAUUUCAGUUUCUAGACUUGUACCUUUUGGAUAUUCCUUUAAUUUUAAAGACACAUUAUUUGAAUUAUUUUAUAAUUCGGAAUAUGUUUGGAAUGGUAUAUUGUUUGAUGGUCUUUAUCGUAUUAAUUUACAAAUCGAAUCCAUUUAUAGUUCAAUGCAUGUUCAAACUGGCACUAAGCGGUGUAACAUUAAUGAGAAUUCUUCUAUGUUAUGGCGUCGGAGAUUAGGACAUAUCUCCAUAGAAAGAAUUAAAAGGUUAGUAAAAGAUGGGGUACUUAAUACUCUAGAUUUUGCUGACUUUGAAACUUGUGUUGACUGCAUUAAGGGAAAGCAGACCAAUAUGUCUAAGAAAGGUGCCAAUAGAAGUUCAAGUAUAUUAGAAAUAAUUCAUACAAACAUAUGUUGUCCUGAUAUGGAUGCACAUGGUCAAAAAUAUUUCAUCACUUUCAUAGAUGAUUACUCACGAUAUAUGAAUAUUUAUUUGCUUAACAAUAAAUAUGAAGCAUUGGAUGCCUUCAAAGUCUUUAAGGCUGAAGUUGAGAACCAGUGUGGAAAACAAAUAAAGAUAGUGAGAUCAGAUCGGGGUGGUGAAUACUAUGGUAGAUACACUGAGAGUGGACAAGCACCUGGUCCAUUUGCUAAGUUUCUUCAAGAACAUGGGAUUGUUGCCCAAUACACCAUGCCCGGUUCUCCGAACCAAAAUGGUGUUGCAGAAAGAAGAAAUCGAACAUUAUUGAACAUGGUGCGGAGUAUGCUUAGCAACUCUAAUCUUCCUAAAUCAUUGUGGAAUGAAGCACUAAAGAUGGUUGUGUAUAUUCUAAACCGGGUUCCAUCCAAGGUUAUCCCAAAGACACCAUUUGAGUUAUUUAAAGGAUGGAAGUCGAGUUUACGACAUAUGCGCAUUUGGGGAUGUCCGUCUGAGGUGAGGAUUUAUAACCCACAAGAAAAGAAACUAGAUCCGAGGACCAUUAGUGGGUAUUUCAUUGGAUAUGCCGAAAGGUCUAAAGGUUAUAGAUUUUAUUGUCCAUCUCAUACAACUAGGAUUGUGGAGUCAAGAAAUGCAAAGUUUCUUGAAAAUCAUUUGACUAGUGGGAGCGAUCAAAUCAAAAAUUCAAUUUCUGUGCAUGAUCAUAUAGAGUAUGAACCUUCCACUUCAAGUAAUAGAUUGGUUACUAUUUACAACAUCCCUCAAGUUCAAAUGGAUGUUGAUCAACCAAUCAUCGAGACUCCACAAGCUACUGAUGAUCCAGUAAAUCAAGUUGGUCAUCAAGAUGAUGAACAAUUAGUUGAACAACAAGAUCCACAAGAAAAUGUUGAUCAAACAUUAAGAAGAUCUACUAGGACAAGAAAAUCAGCUAUUCCUAAUGAUUACAUUGUGUAUCUACAAGAAUCUGACUAUAAUGUUGGAGCUGAGAAUGAUCCUGAGAGCUUUAGACAAGCCAUGAGUUGCAAAGAGUCAAAUUUGUGGUAUGAUGCCAUGAAUGAUGAAAUGAAUUCCAUGAAAAACAACGACGUAUGGGAUCUUGUAGAGUUACCUAAUGGGGCAAAGGCCAUUGGUUGUAAAUGGGUCUUUAAAACCAAGAAAGAUUCAUUAGGCAACAUUGAGAGAUACAAGGCCAGACUCGUUGCUAAGGGAUUUACUCAAAAGGAGGGAAUCAAUUACACUGAUACUUUUUCUCCUGUAUCUAAGAAAGAUUCUCUUCGUGUCAUCUUGGCAUUAGUUGCACAUUUUGACCUUGAGUUGCAUCAAAUGGAUGUGAAAACAACCUUUCUUAAUGGUGAUUUAGAGGAGGAGGUUUAUAUGAAACAACCUGAAGGUUUCUCUUCUAAUAGUGGUGAGCAUUUGGUUUGCAAGCUUAAGAGAUCCAUAUAUGGGUUAAAACAAGCCUCUCGUCAAUGGUAUCUUAAAUUCCAUGAAACGAUAUCUUCAUUUGGGUUUAUUGAAAACCCCAUGGAUCAAUGUAUAUACCAGAAGGUCAGUGGGAGUAAAAUUUGUUUUCUCAUUUUGUAUGUGGAUGACAUACUACUUGCAACCAAUGAUAAAGGUUUUCUACAUGAGGUGAAACAAUUCCUCUCUAAAAACUUUGAUAUGAAGGAUAUGGGUGAGGCAUCUUAUGUCAUUGGCAUUAAGAUCCACAGAGAUAGACUUCGAGGAAUUUUGGGUCUAUCACAAGAAACCUACAUCAAUAAAGUUUUAGAGAGAUUUAGAAUGAAAGAUUGUUCACCAAGUGUUGCACCCAUUGUCAAGGGCGAUAGAUUUAAUUUGAAUCAAUGCCCUAAGAAUGAUUUUGAGCGGGAACAAAUGAAGAACAUUCCAUAUGCUUCUGUUGUUGGAAGUCUUAUGUAUGCUCAAGUAUGCACAAGGCCCGACAUUGCAUUUGCUGUUGGAAUCUUAGGAAGAUAUCAGAGUAAUCCAGGUAUGGAUCACUGGAAAGCUGCAAAGAAGGUGUUGAGAUAUCUUAAAGGAACAAAAGAUUACAUGCUAAUGUAUAGGCAGACGGACAAUCUUGAUGUGAUCGGCUAUUCAGACUCCGACUUUGCUGGUUGUGUUGAUUCUCGCAAAUCAACAUCAGGAUAUAUUUUUUUGAUGGUUGAUGGAGCUAUUUCAUGGAGAAGUACUAAGCAAACCUUGGUUGCUACUUCUACUAUGGAAGUUGAGUUUGUAUCCUGUUUUGAGGCUACUUCUCAUGGUGUAUGGCUUAAGAGUUUUAUUUCUGGGCUUAGAAUCAUGGAUUCUAUUUCUAAAUCUCUAGAGAU
rnacentral:lncRNA from 1 species